CCUACGGGAGGCAGCAGUCGAGAAUCAUUCACAAUGGGGGAAACCCUGAUGGUGCGACGCCGCGUGGGGGAAUGAAGGUCUUCGGAUUGUAAACCCCUGUCAUGUGGGAGCAAAUUAAAAAGAUCGUACCACACGAGGAAGAGACGGCUAACUCUGUGCCAGCAGCCGCGGUAAUACAGAGGUCUCAAGCGUUGUUCGGAAUCACUGGGCGUAAAGCGUGCGUAGGCUGUUUCGUAAGUCGUGUGUGAAAGGCGCGGGCUCAACCCGCGGACGGCACAUGAUACUGCGAGACUAGAGUAAUGGAGGGGGAACCGGAAUUCUCGGUGUAGCAGUGAAAUGCGUAGAUAUCGAGAGGAACACUCGUGGCGAAGGCGGGUUCCUGGACAUUAACUGACGCUGAGGCACGAAGGCCAGGGGAGCGAAAGGGAUUAGAUACCCUUGUAGUC
rnacentral:rRNA from 1 species